GGCCCACUGGUCCGCAGGUUAGAAGACCGAUACCCAGGGGCCUUAAUGGUUCUCUCGGGAGCUGUCCCUGACCGGGUUCCUGGACCCGGACAUAUGGCGCCCACCUGCAUCUGCAGGCCCAUGAGGAUCAAACCUUCGACGGCGUCUCCGGUACCC
rnacentral:other from 1 species